GCUGGCGACCAUAGCAAGAGUGAACCACCUGAUCCCUUCCCGAACUCAGAAGUGAAACCUCUUAGCGCGAAUGGUAGUGUGGGAUUACCCAUGUGAGAGUAAGUCAUCGCCAGCU
rnacentral:rRNA from 1 species